CCAUUAAUCAAGAACGAAAGUUAAGGGAGUGAAGACGAUCAGAUACCGUCGUAAUCUUAACCAUAAACUAUGCCGACUAGGCUUUGGAUGAAAGAUUUUAAAAUAAGAGUUUUUCUUUUCUCUCCGGAGAUUAGAACUCUUGGAUUGCUUCCUUCAGUGCCUUAUGAGAAAUCAAAGUCUUUGGGUUCUGGGGCGAGUAUUCGCGCAAGCGAGAAAGUUAAAAGAAUUGACGGAAGGGCACCACCAGGCGUGGAGCUUGCGGCUUAAUUUGACUCAACACGGGAAAACUCACUAGUUUAAGACAAGAGUAGGAUUGACAGAUUAAUAGCUCUUUCUUGAUUUCUUGGAUGGUGAUGCAUGGCCGUUUUUAGUUCGUGAAUAUGAUUUGUCUGGUUAAUUCCGAUAACGAACGAGAUCUUAACCUGCUAAUUAGCGGCAAAUACGAUAUAUUCUUAUGUAGAAUUGAAUAUAGUGGAUUUGUUGGAUUUUGAAGAAAAUAUUGGAAUUACGUUAAAUGUGAUUCCUUUCCC
rnacentral:rRNA from 1 species